AGGGGCUGAAGGAACAGAUGCUGGUGUUUGGCGCUGACAUUACACACGUGCAGUUGGCUCUCUGCACCCACAGGCUCUUCAUCCAGAGAUCCAACCAACCGAAUCCCACACAUGUACCAGGCACUCCUCUUGCCAUCCAGGAUGUUACCGGAGAGCUGGGAAAGAAGAGCGUGCUUCUGUAGGUGAGGCCAACCCACUGGGCACUGAGGGCUUCCAGUCAUUUCUAAUCAGCUGUGUGUCUGCACCUUUCCUCACUUGAUUAGUCCUACUCGUUAAAUCAGAAGAUCGGCAAGGAGACUCCUUUUGGAAAACCCAGAGGUACUGGAAACAUUCAUCUACAACCUCUUUGAAGAAUGUGGUGAGAAAAAUACAUACAUAUAAUAAAGAUAUGUCUAUGAGCAGUGCAGUUCCGAGGGGUGUUCAAAGGCUCAGAAGCGCUUCUGGAGGGCAGACUGGAUAU